AGUGAACGCUGGCGGUAGGCCUAACACAUGCAAGUCGAACGGCAGCACAGUAAGAGCUUGCUCUUACGGGUGGCGAGUGGCGGACGGGUGAGGAAUACAUCGGAAUCUACUUUUGCGUGGGGGAUAACGUAGGGAAACUUACGCUAAUACCGCAUACGACCUACGGGUGAAAGCAGGGGAUCUUCGGACCUUGCGCGAUUGAAUGAGCCGAUGUCGGAUUAGCUAGUUGGCGGGGUAAAGGCCCACCAAGGCGACGAUCCGUAGCUGGUCUGAGAGGAUGAUCAGCCACACUGGAACUGAGACACGGUCCAGACUCCUACGGGAGGCAGCAGUGGGGAAUAUUGGACAAUGGGCGCAAGCCUGAUCCAGCCAUACCGCGUGGGUGAAGAAGGCCUUCGGGUUGUAAAGCCCUUUUAUUGGGAAAGAAAAGCAGCAAGUUAAUACCCCGCUGUUCUGACGGUACCCACAGAAUAAGCACCGGCUAACUUCGUG
rnacentral:rRNA from 1 species